CUUGCACCACUUUGGUUCUAGUGGCGAACGGGUGAGUAACACGUGAGAAAUCUGCCCUUUAGACUGGGAUAACUACUGGAAACGGUUUGUAAUACCGGAUGUGCUCUAGAUACCGCAUGGUAUUUAGAGGAAAGCUUAGAUGCACUAAAGGAUGAUCUCGCGGCGUAUUAGUUAGUUGGUGAGAUAGUGGCUCACCAAGACAAUGAUACGUAGCCGGCCUGAGAGGGUGACCGGCCACACUGGGACUGAGACACGGCCCAGACUCC
rnacentral:rRNA from 1 species